UCCAGCCCAGGCCCAUGAUUACCAGGGCAGUGUGAGGAGGAUUAUACCCCUUUUCCACCUACGUACCGUGUCCGAUACGGGAUGUUUAACACGGCUACAACCCGUGUCGGCUCCCCCAUUUCCACUACACUUCGACACGGGUUAUUCCUGGGGGUGCCUGCAAGGAAUCACACCGCGGGAGGAGGAGAGACUAUGGCUGGAGACUGAUGGACAGACCCCUUGAAGUGCUGAGACACCAUGCUCUGGACUCACUCAGCCCUUGCGAUCACGUCAGUCUUUUUGGACCCGCAAUUGACGUCAGACACCCGCCCUGCAAAUGCUUGGAUACGCCUGCGUUUUUCCAAACACUCACAGAAAACGCCCUAAUCAUCAGCAGAGAAAAACCCAUAAGCGGAGUCUGGAGGCAAUGGUACUGCAGCGCGUGUGAGGUGUAAAGUUCUCCCCGCAGUUCUGCAAUAAUGUUCUGCUAACUGUAGCAUGUUAUCUGUGUAGAAAACGGUGCCUGCCAAGAAGACUGCUCCGAGCCAAAUAGAAAUGUGGAACCUGUCUGUAACGCUGGACGGGACAUUUCCCAGAAACCUGCAGGUUUCACGUCUACUGGGAGAAAAUAUUGUAUGUUCUUCACCGUGCAAAAUUUACCAAACAUCCAGUGAGAACGAAGCCGCAACAGGUGUCACCCGCGGAUCCCUGACCCACAUCUUGUGCAAGUAAAAACCUAUCAAUGAAUAAAACAUAAGACGCUGUCAGACGAUGCAUCUUUUAGGUGCUUGAGAAUGAAAAAUUGGUAAUAUUCCCGGUAAUCCAUGCCUCCCUCCUGUCCCAUUUUAGGCAUCUUUCAUGCUAUCAUAAUUGGACAGCUUUGUCCAGAUUGGGCAGGGAGGCUGGCGAGUGAUUAAAGUAUGAUCCGGCGAUAAUUUAAUAGUUAUUUUGCUGCUUGCAGAGCUGGAUUAACAUUGAACUGGAUGGAAUUGCAGUGCCAGGACUCCACACUAAAAAAGACCCCUCAUCAUCACCAGAUCUGCAGGGGAUUGAGCUAGGAAUGGCGACGACAAGUGGGGACACUACCAGGC